rnacentral:lncRNA from 1 species
UAUAGUUUUUUGUGUGCUCUAGGGCAACAGUGUCUAGAUGGAAUUUGUAUUUGUCCUGGCGACUGGACCUUUUUUGGAACACCAUUAUUUUGGUCUUACUGAGAUUUGCUGUCAGGGCCCAGGUCUGACAGAAUCUGUGCAGAAGAUCUAGGUGCUGGUGUAGGCCCUCCUGGUGGUGGAAGAGACAUUUGACUUCAGAUUCUAGCAGGGUGAGGCCGGGUGCUGCAGACUUUCUAGUGCCCGUUCUCUCAUUUCCUGCCCACAGCUCUCUCUCUCAUUCCCUGCCCACAGUCUCUCUCUUUCUCUCAUUCCCUGCCCACAGUCUCUCUCUCUCAUUCCCUGCCCACGCUCUCUAUCUCCAUUCCCUGCCCACUACUCCUCUCUCAUUCCCGUCCCAGUCUCUCUUCUCUCUCUCUCUCUCUCUUCCCUGCCCACGUCUCUCUCUCUCUCUUCUCUCUCUCUCUCUCUCUCUCUCUCUCUCUCUCUCUCUCUCUCAUUCCCUGCCCACAGUAUCUCUCUCCUUCCCUGCGCACAGUAUCUCUCUCUCUGUCUCAUCUUCCCUGCCCACAGUGUAUCUCAUUCCCUGCCCACAGUAGCUCUCUCUCUCAUUCCCUGCCAGUAUCUCUCUCUCUCAUUCCUGCCCAAGUCUCUCUCUCUCUCUUCAUUCCUGCCCACAGUAUCUCUCUCUCUCUCUCUCAUCCUGACAAAACUUCAUUCCUGCCCACAGUACUCUUCUCUUCUCUAUUCCCUGCCCACACGUAGCUCUCUCUCUCUCUCAUUCCUGCCCACAGUAGCUCUCUCUCUCUCUCUCUCUCUCUCUCUCUCUCAUUCCCCCACAGUAGCUCUCCUCUCUCUCUCUCUCACAUUCCCUGCCCACAGUAGCUCUCUCCUCUCUCAUUCCCUGCCCACAGUAGUGCUCUCUCUCUCUCUCAUUCCCUGCCACAGUAGCUCUCUCUCUCCUCUCUCAUUCCCUUGCCCACAGUAGCUCUCUCUCUCUCUCUCUCAUUCCCUGCCCACAGUAGCUCUCUCUCUCUCUCAUUCCCUGCCCACAGUCGUCUCUCUCUCAUCCUGCCACCGUAGCUCCUUCAUUCCCCCACAGUAGCUCUCUCUCUGUACUCUCAUUCCUGCCCACAGUAGCUCUCUCUCUGUAUCUCUCAUUCCCUGCCCAUAGUAGCUCUCUCUCUGUAUCUCUCAUUCCCUGCCCACAGUAGCUCUCUCUCUCUCUCAUCCCUGCCCACAGUAGCUCUCUCUCUUAUCUCUCUCAUUCCUGCCACAGUAGCUCUCUCUCAUUCCUUCCCACAGUAGCCUUCUCUCUCUCUAUUUCCUGCCCACCGUAGCUCUCUCUCUCUCUCAUCCCCUACCCACAGUAGCUCUCUCUUCUCUCAUUCUUCCACGUAGCCCUCUCUACUCUCAUUCCCUGCCCACAGUAGCUCUCUCUCUGUAUCUCUCAUUCCCUGCCACACAGUUCGCUCUCUCUCAUCCCGCACAGUAGCUCUCUGUCUUCUCAUUCCC